GAUGAACGCUGGCGGCGUGCCUAACACAUGCAAGUCGAACGAAGCUACAUUUUACGAUCCCUUCGGGGUGACGAAUUAUAGACUGAGUGGCGGACGGGUGAGUAACGCGUGGGCAACCUGCCCUAUACCGGGGGAUAGCAGCUGGAAACGGCUGAUAAUACCGCAUAAGCGCACAGAGAGACAUCUCUUAGUGUGAAAAACUCCGGUGGUAUAGGAUGGACCCGCGUCUGAUUAGCCAGUUGGUGAGGUAAAGGCCCACCAAAGCGAAGAUCAGUAGCCGACCUGAGAGGGUGACCGGCCACAUUGGGACUGAGACACGGCCCAAACUCCUACGGGAGGCAGCAGUGGGGAAUAUUGCACAAUGGGCGAAAGCCUGAUGCAGCGACGCCGCGUGAGUGAUGAAGUAUUUCGGUAUGUAAAGCUCUAUCAGCAGGGAAGAAAAUGACGGUACCUGACUAAGAAGCUCCGGCUAAAUACGUGCCAGC
rnacentral:rRNA from 1 species